UCUCAGCACCUUCGAAAGUUUGUGGCCCUCACGUGGAUGCCCUGGAGUCUGAUACCGCCAGGGUAGCUGAAGGUGUUGAUUUGAAUUAUUAGCUUACACACACCUGCAAGUGUAGAGUCAGGACUAGUUCUAAUGAUUGGGUCAAGCCCAGAUAAUCGUGAAAAACUUGGUUUUAUUAGAGUGGUUUUUCUUUCGUUGCUGUCGCCGAGUCUUUUGUUGGCCAGUGUGAAUUUGAAGCUUCUAAUAGGGGAUCGCUUGCUAGGGUUCUGGUGCCCAUGCAAAUCAAGGGACUUGGUUGUGUUCUAGACGUUUACAGUGCCGACGAAGAAUUUGGUCAUGUCAGUGGGGAUCUUCAGCCUCUGUAGAACCCCGGAGUGUGAUUUCUUUUUCAGUCAUGGUCAGAACAAGAGCAAUAGAUGGAUAGUGGUAUUGCAAACUUUGUAUCGGAGAAAUUAGGAAGCUAAUUUGCAAAUGUGCAACAUGGGGGAAGUUUGCAUUUGGCGGUAGCACACAGCCAAUGAGCCAUGGUUGGAUUGAUGAACCACUGGCUGCCGGAGCAUCACCGUCACCCGCCGCUGUCGGCCCCGGUUUCACGACACUCUCACAAGAUCAACUUCUAUCUAGGUAUCGUCCUUGUCGUGUUCAUGGCGGUGAGUGUAGUGGCGCUUUUCUGCAUUUGCUACCACUUGGAAUGGCGUCUUCGCCUUCAGGCCAGGAAUGUUGCAAGGCGGGUGAGUAGAGGAAAUGGGUUCUCGGUGCAAGAUGCGGGCUGUUCUCAAGACAUGAUCGGUGCGCGGGUCGGGAAUAGGAUCAAACAGGAGACAAGUCUUUCCGUAAUGAUGCCUGGAGAUAGCAUUCCAAGCUUUCUUGCGAAGGCUAAACCUCAUGGAUCACCAACUGAUCCUCAUUUUUCAGAUUCACUUGUAAGUGCAGCGAUUGAUCUUUCUCAAACUUUUAGAUAGAGUGGACAACAUUGGAUUCGCGAGUGAAACAUGAGGAUGGGCUCGCUUUCGAACAGUCGGCUGAAGCUUUUGAGAAGGGAACGAAUAUCAUCCCUGUCGUCUUCUCAUUGUGGUGGCAAUGGUUAUGAUCAUGCAUCAAACACCACGCAUAUGUCUCCGCAAAAAAACAAUGCCUUGCAGCCUAUCUUCACCAUUUAGAUUAUCUUCUUAUAUUUUCCACUUUGGUGUGUGGGAGUUUCGAUGUGGAGAUGUGUUUGCAUACCGGAUCAGCAGACUUUGGGAUGCAAGCAAGGUGCUUACCGCUCUGUAUUGCUACAGGGUGCAGAAACCUUUUGGGAAGCAGUAUGCAGAAAGUAUUCAAUCUGAAAAGAUAGCACCACCGAAUUGAAACAUGCAGAUGCAGUAUGCUCUAUGUUCCUGCAGGAACCUGAUGAUGGACAUGAUGAAGCAACCAAGCGACACAAGCAAAUCCACUUCAGCAUCUCCAAGUCAGAGUGAUCCCAUGCAACUAUUGAUAAAAUGGUAUAAUAAAUUGCUGGAUCAGCCAUUCUUAGCUGUUCUGCAUUUCAACUAUACAUAUAUUCUAUGAAAUGGGGAACCAAUCUUCAUCGCGUGGACAGAUAACCCAAGGGUAUUGUUCAGUUCUCAGUUGUAAUGUAAAUGGCAACAAUCACAUGUUUAGAUUCUUUGUAGUUUUUUAGAUAUGUUAUAUUAUGUUUUUAUUUAUGUAUAGAUCUCCUUAAAGAAUUGUAAGUUAUAAUGUCCAUGUAUCUAGUAUACACAGCUUUCUUUUGUUAUGUAAUACAUCAAUAAAUCAAACUAUCUAUAAUAUAUGAUACUUAAUAUGGUUAA